AAGAAGGACCUGAGUGCAGGCUUCCUUGCGAGAAGAUGGGCGUUAAAGUCAGGUGGAGGUAAAGCCAUUAGGUGUGUGAGCAGCACGCAUAAACCAAACCAUUUCAUGAGAGGUGUUGUGCCAAAGUACUAUAGGUAAGGAAAGUCGUCAAAGUGGGAUUAGCUAAAGCGUUGAAAAUGAAUUGGAUUCCAAGUUCGAGGAUGGGUAUUUUCCAAGAGUAGAAGAGCAGGUCGGAGGGCACAGAUGGGUGAACCAAGGGAGUUCUCGCCAUAGGCUAUAGGUACGAGGGUACCCCGAACGUCGAAGGACUGCGAAGGAAAAGAGAGAGUUUUGAACAAAGCAUCUAAUUCACAGAGUAGUGCGCAGAUGUCGGUACUUUGAGACAAGAAGUACUUGCCAAAGGGUACGUCCCAAGAGAGUGUGAGGUGCCUAUGGGCGCGGAGCACACGAGAUGCCAAAAGGUGCCAUGGUGAAGCAUGGGUUUCCAAAGGCUGUUGUGAAUAAUGAUUGGGACAAAGUUUGUAAUUUAGGCUACCUCCAGU
rnacentral:lncRNA from 1 species